UCUCUAAAAAGGUUAGUGAAUGACGAAAUUUCUUUUAAUAGUCUUGAUCUGAUUCUAAUGAAGAACCCUGAUCCAUGGUUGUCGGGCAGUGUACUGGUACUUACCUUGAUCAGAUCUGAUAUUUAUCAAUUUAAUUAUCCAUGAUUUCGAUCUAGCUAUGACUUGAUUUGAUCAUGUUGAUUUCAUCAAUCGAGAUAUUGGAUCAAUCGUAAUGUUGGAUUGUGUCACCUGAUCAAUUCGAAUUGUACCUCAUGAAUUCUCUCUCCUCUGAUUUUUUUUCUCUACUUGAUUUUAUGAAAUCGAUGAAGAAACCUCGAUCCUAUCACUUCGAAUCCGAUUUGAUUUGAUAGUCAAACUUUGGAUCGUUUAGGUCCUAAUUAGAUUUUGAUUAGAUGAAAUGAGAUGAUCGGACCCAAUCCAAGCCGUUGAAAUAUGGUAUUCGUAUUCUUUUUAAUUAUUGAAAUUGAUUCUGUACAGGAUUGUGGAUGUUUGAUCAUGGGAUAUCGCGAUAUGAUCUACGAACAAAAUUUUUGGAAGAAAAUUUAUAGAAUUAUGUGGAUUUAUUGGAAUGCGUUCGAGGUAAGUAAUGUUUCACUUUUUCUAGAUUUAUCGACAAAUUAUAAUGUAUUUUUCUGACAUGAUUUGUGAAACGAUGCAUGAAUUGGAUGAAUGGUAUUUUGCUAUGAAAAUAUCUUAUUUAAAAUGUUAUGAUGAAGCAUGAUUGAACAUAUUGAUUUCAUGAUGCAUUAUAUUGAUUGAUUUCGAUACUACAUGAUUAUAUAUU
rnacentral:lncRNA from 1 species